AACGAACGCUGGCGGCAUGCCUAACACAUGCAAGUCGAACGAGAUCUUCGGGUCUAGUGGCGCACGGGUGCGUAACGCGUGGGAAUCUGCCUUUUGGUCCGGAAUAACAGUUGGAAACGACUGCUAAUACCGGAUGAUGACGAAAGUCCAAAGAUUUAUCGCCAGAGGAUGAGCCCGCGUAGGAUUAGCUAGUUGGUGUGGUAAAGGCGCACCAAGGCGACGAUACUUAGCUGGUCUGUGAGGAUGAUAAGCCACACUGGGACUGAGACACGGCCCAGACUCCUACGGGAGACAGCAGUGGGGAAUAUUGGACAAUGGGCGAAAGCCUGAUCCAGCAAUGCCGCGUGAGUGAUGAAGGCCUUAGGGUUGUAAAGCUCUUUUACCCGGGAUGAUAAUGACAGUACCGGGAGAAUAAGCUCCGGCUAACUCCGUGCCAGCCGCCGCAGUAA
rnacentral:rRNA from 1 species